rnacentral:piRNA from 1 species
UUCCAAAAUAAUACAAGUUUC